UUUUUUUUUUUUUUUUUUUUUUUUUACUAUUUUUGAUCCAAGGUGGAAUCCUCAGAUGCAAAACCAAAAGAUAUGGAGGGGAGGGCAGAUUGUAGUGACAACUGGGGAGUGUGGAAAACCCAGAAACAUCUAAAAUGGCACAGUUGGGGCACUCUUGGACUUGCUGUUCAGGUUCCCCUCAACAGCUACACCUCCAACCCCACCAGCAGUGAGGGGGUAGGUAAGGACUCAAACCUCCCCAGCCUCAAAGAGCUGCUCUGGGCAGACAGGAGCUGGCUUGGGUGCAAGUGCAGGGAGGGGCAUCCCCGUCUGACCCACAGCCCAUGUGGGACUGUUGUAUGAUUCUGGUACAGAGAGACAAGAAAUUAAGGCUUAUUUCCAGGAAGCAGUGUUUAUUCCUGCCAACAUGGGCUCAGUGGAUUCAUACCCAAAGGCUGAGCCCUGAACGCAGUGGGGCAUUGCCUUAUAUACCUCUGCUAGUUUUCCCACCACAUCUUGCUCUUUUUGGCCCCAUUAUAAGGUAACAUAAGGUAACAUACAUUCUGUAAAUUCUGAUAUGUUACAUGGAUAAUAUGUGCACAGGGGUACUAAUUAUAUCAUGCCACAGAGCUGUGCAUGCUGGCACAGAUGCGGGUGGUGCACAUUGCCUUCCCUUUGUUCUGGGAGGGCCCUUCCCCAUCUCCCACUACAAGACUGAGGGAGGGGCAAGAGGCCUUAAAGUGGGACAAGCAUGGAGCCAGUCCCACUUCAGGGCUGCCCAUGGGAUCAACUUGAGAUUAAGUUUCAGCUGAGACCACUUCAUUGUUUAAGCAUCUUCUCCUGCCCUACCUCCUUCCUCCACCCUGCCUCUCAGCAAACCCCCUGCCUAAGAAUUCCCACCCAGGACCUCACCAGACCUGGGCUGAAGCCUUCUGAGAGGUGUGGCCCAGGCUGACAGGAGGCAGGCAGGGAAGCUGCCAAGAGCAGAGGUAACAGGUGUUACAACCCUUCUUUACGGAGCACUUUCUCUUUGCCAGACGCUUUCUCAGACUGUCUGUGCCUCUCUUAUCAAGCAACUUCCUGAACAGGAAAUGAACUCAGAGGUUUGAGCAUGUGAACUUAAGACAUAGAGGAGCCGGGGCUGGGACCCAGGUGGCCUUGCCAUCAGCCGGGCGCACUUAACUUCCGGGUGUCCUGCUUUUCUGAGGCCUGUGACCUACUGCGAGAUCCACUGCUAAUGUAAGAAGAGGAAAUGAUUCCAACAUCCAUCUCCAGGAACAUCCCUGAAGGACACUAGACCUGGGUGCCCAAUAUCAUAGCCGUUAGCCUCAGGUGGCCACCGAGAACCUGAAAUACGGCUUCUCUGAAUUGAGAUGUGCUGUGAGCAUCAAAUGCUUCAAGACUAGAUUUGGAAGAAGUCGUAACAAAAGCAAUUUCAACUAUUUCAUUUUGAGAUCUUUUCAGCAUUGACCAGUGGAGAUAAUAACAUUUUGCCAAAUAAAAUUCUUUUGACUUGGUUCCGUUUGUGCUACUUUAGUGUGGCUGCUAGAAAACUUAGAAUCACAUGGGUGGGUUACAUGAUAUUUCUGCUGGGUAUCCCUGAAGAAACCCUUCAACUUCCCCCAGCAGGUCCAAAUCGACCCACAGCAGCAGCUAAGACCUGAAUCAGUCAAGUCAUCAUUUGGUAGAGGAGUCCAAGCUAUGAUCUUGAGGUAAAAUGCUAACUCAGGUGGUCAGUGUAGGAGCAUGGGUUUCGAUGCAUUCUUUGGUGUGGCUAUUGAUUAACAUUUGUGGUUUAAGGGCUCCAGAGAGUAAUAUUCCCCACAGGCCUUGUUUACUAUAGGAAGUGUACCUGCCCCCACAUGCACCUUAAUCUCUAACCCACUCCUCAACUGACAGAAAAGGAAGGAGAGAAAUGGUGAUUCAGUCUAAGGGAAGAGAAGGACAAAGAAACCAUAAAACUUAAAGGACAUUUCCACCCCUAAAACUCCUAUUGGACUAGGACUGAUAUAGGUAACCAGACAAGGCCAAUGGGAGAAAACCACAUCUUUCUGGACCCCAUGUUGCUAUCCCCCCAUCUUUAAGGGAUAAAAACCCCUAUAGGACAAUAGAGAGCAGGGGCUCUUCUCCCUGCUCCCAGCAGCCCUGGGAGCUCUUUGCUUUCCUGUAAUAAAGACUUUGCUUGCUUGCUGCCUGUGUGUCCGCCAAGUUCAUUCUUCAACUGCAUGAACAAGAACCCAGAUUCCGGUAACAUCUUUUUGGCAUAAUCUUUUGGGGGAUGGUCUGGGGUCCAACCCAAUACACCAGCACUCACAAGGUAAGCAGCAGCAAGCUUGCACUUUCUAGAACAUUUUUCAGUUUCGUUUGCCUCUGAAAGGAGGGUGAAUGUGUGAAUGAGUGUGUGAGCCUGAGACAUGUCCUGGACAUGAAGCGAGUGUGGAGUCCCGAUUUGCAGUUCUUUUUAAGCUGGGUGACCUCAUAUGGCUAAAAAGCAGCCCUCCUGAGUCCAAUCAGGCCAGGAGUCCAGUUGGGGGUUUCUACCAUCCUACCAUAUGCCAAGAGGCACCAAAUGGGGUGUCCCAAAAGGGAGACAGCCAGAGACAGACGAAGCGAGUCAUGAGGCAAACUUUCCUUCCCAUUCCCCCCACCCCACAAUCUCCUCUAUGUACUCUAGUCUUUGUAAAGCAUUUGGGAAAUCACAGGUUACUAUAUUUCUAAAGGUUAAUAAUUGUUUAAAGGCAUGUGAGGAACAAAAGUGUUUUUCUAAAUUCUUGAAGGGUGAUGAAGGGUUUAAAGUAACUGUUCCUAAACCCCUUAGUGAAGUAAGAGUUUUAACUAGAGAAACAAAACCCCCUCCCCCCUGUGGAAAGUAACAUAAUGUCUUGUCUAUCAAAGGAAAUCUUGGUUACUCCAUUUUGCUCUGGUUUUGCCUUCCUGUGACCCCCAUCCCUCCCCUUUCCCUCUUCUCCCAGUAACAAUUUGUUGCAGAUUAGCCAACCAGGAAGAGUGUGCCCCCUGACCUGACCAAUGGGAAGGGGACAGGUACAUCACCUGCAUUAGGUAUAAAUAGGGGAGGGUCCUUUGGUCAGCACACACACUUUUUGGAGUGCCCGCACCCUUCUGCAGAAGUAAAGAGCCUUGUCAAGAUUUCUCCUUGUCCAUGUGUCUCACUUUCUGACACUGAUGACCUGAGCCAGAGUUAUUGUAAUUUCCAACAUUCCCCCCCCCUCCUGAAAAGGCAACUACGUGCCUGCCAGCAGCUUUGCUGAUCACAUAUCUUCCUACUUGUAAUCAUGUAGCAACUAUGCGCCUUAUGUCCUUGCUAGCAGCCCUGCUAACCCUGCUCCAAGCAUUGCUUCUCAGUUUUACUUUUGUAAUCCUGCUUGCCCAGCUCCUUAGGCAGGAUCUCUGUCUGUUCAGGAAAGGGGGGGUGGUGCUGGGGCUGCUUGUGUGGGAAAAUCUUAAGAUCUGGAAGUCUGCAUUGUUUAAAAGUUACCCAGAACAAAGGCCUGGUGCUCAGACUAUGGAGGCAACUCCUCGGAACCUGCACCGGUGCUAAAUAAACUUUACUAUUCUGCAUCUCCAAAUGCCAUUUGUCUCUUUCCACUGCCACGAUUUCUGCAACAUUUCUGGUGUGUUGGCCAGGAAGCCAAUAACCGAGCUGGCCCCUUGUGCCACUUUUGUCAGGGAAUUGGGGAAGGCCUUGGUCACCGGCCCAGUGACAGGCAGAUAGUGCAUGCCUGGCCUUUUGUCAGAUCCUAACCCUCACUCAGGCUGUGCUGGCCGCGGCUCAUGCUGUUUCCUGAACAGACUCAGAAGGACAGUGAAAACAGGUUCCAGUAUGGGAGGUCAGACUGGUGAGUGCCCUGGGGACAUCUGCCCAAGUCAGGACCCACCAUAUGGCAGAAGGAGAGACUGAUCACCUCUCAGGGACCAAAGGGUCAUUCAGGACAGGAUUUGUUCCCUCAGGAUUGGGUGGCCUGUCAACUCUGGUGUGCAUGUGUGAGUGACUGGAGAGUAUGAGAGCCUGUGCUCCACUGUCUUUGGACUACAGAGCCUGAGUGUGUCCUAACCUACAAUUCCGUGGUGACCUCAUAAGUCUGCCCCAGGUUCUGAGGUUCUCUUCCCUCCCUGUUAGACUGGUCUGGGUCUGGGGUUUAUACAGACCAGCCACACACUAAGAAGCACCUUAAACCUCCAAGAGGGGGGUAGUCAGGUGGACCAAAGUGAGUGCUCCCCCUACUGUUUGUCUUGCAACAUCAUCACAGGGUGGGAAUGCAUGCCAUGGGUAAAUCAGCCUCAAAACCCACUGUCUUAGAAUGUAUGGCUAAGAAUUUUAAGAAAGGAUUUUAUGGAGAUUGUGGUGUAAAACUGAGUUCUAGAAAACUGCACACCCUCUGUGCCCUAGAGUGGCCAUCCUUUGGGGUCAGAUGGCCCUUGGAAGGGACCUUAGAUGUGCCCAUGGUUUGAGCAGUAUAUAAUGUUAUAACAGGACACCCAGGACACCCAGACCAAUUUCUCCACAUUGAUCAAUGUUUAGAAGUUGCCCAGUUAAGGCCUUCUUGAGUUCGGUUCUGUGUCACAGGCCAGGGACAGUGUAAGGUCCUAGUAUCUCAGUCCAAGAAGAUAAUUUCACCUCAAGAAAAUGAGCCACCUAUUUUUCAAGGAGAGGCUGAGGACUCACCCCCUGAGCUACCUCCUUAUGUGCUACCAGCCCCUCCUCUGGGGGCCAAAGGUCCCCAGUGGCCAGACAGCCCACCGCCUUCUGUUCCUCCUCCUCCUCCUCUUGAAGUCCCUGAGGUGAUAUUGCCCCUGCAGCUAGAUUCACCAGAACUGGUGAGCAGGUGUCUCUGGUCGACCCAGGGAGCAGCCACCCCAGCACUACAAAUGCCCUUAUGAGAGAUGCGGGGACCACAGCAUAUCACCCCUGAUGGGACCAUAUGAGAGGGGGGACCGGUCUUUUACUACCAGCCCUUUUCCAUGAGACCUCCUCAACUGAAAGCAUCAUACCCCCUCAUACACUGAAAAGCCUCUUAGAAUUGACCUCUGAUUGACCUCUUAGAAUCCAUUUUAUAGACACACCACUCCACCUGGUUAGACUGUCAGCAGGCAGCUCCUUCUCACUUUGUCUUUUUGCUAUUUUUUUGGGGCCACUCCCGUGGCAUAUGGAGGUUCCCAGGCUAGGGGUCUAAUCCGGAGCUGUAGCCACUGGCCUAUGCCAGAGCCACAGCAACGCUGGCUCCAAGCCGCGUCUGCAACCUACACCACAGCUCACGGCAACGCCAGAUCGUUAACCCACUGAGCAAGGGCAGGGAUCGAACCCGCAACCUCAUUGUUCCUAGUCGGAUUCAUUAACCACUGCACCACGACGGGAACUCCAACCUUCUCACUUUGUUUAACACUGAAGAGCACCAACAAAUCAUAUAUAAGCCCAGAGAUGUCUCCAGACCAAUGCCCCAGGGGAUCAGCUAGACGUGGAAAACAGCAAGGGAAGUCUUCCCAGAAGAAGACCCCCACUGGGACCACAACACUGAAGGGGGAAGUGAUAAUUUGGAGAGGUACUGACAGGCCUUCCUACAGGGAGUAAAACCUGGGGCUAGAAAGCCUACUAACUUGGCCAAGACCACUGAGGUGCUGCAAAAGCUGAAUGAAGGCCCAGCCAACUUCUAUGAGA
rnacentral:lncRNA from 1 species